rnacentral:rRNA from 1 species
UACGGAGGGUGCGAGCGUUGUCCGGAAUCACUGGGCGUAAAGGGCGCGUAGGUGGCGCAGGAAGUCAACGGUGAAAGUUCGGGGCUCAACCCUGAAUCGGCCGUCGAUACUCCUGGGCUCGAGCACUGUAGAGGCAGAUGGAAUUCCGGGUGUAGCGGUGGAAUGCGUAGAGAUUCGGAAGAACACCCAUGGCGAAGGCAGCACUCUGGGCUUCAACCGCAAGGUGAACCUGACACUGAGGUACGAAAGCCAGGGGAGCGAACGGG